GAGAAAGAUAUUGAGGUUGAGGUUACUGACCAUACUAUGCCUGAGUCAUUCAUACUUGAUGAGGAACAGGGAAGGUAAAUUUAACAAGGUUCUCACAACCUCUGCAAUCCACAGUUCCUAAUUGCAGGAGAGGAUUAUUUAUGUUGAUCUAAUUUAGAGACACGUAAGUUUUGGAUGCUGCUAUGGAGGAGAAGUUAUAGAUCAGUUUUGUUCUGUUGAGGACUUUUUUCAUUUAUAAAGGAA